ACGCUGGCGGCGUGCAUAACACAUUCAAGUCGAACGGACGUGAGCCCUUCGGGGAUCACGUUAGUGGCGGACGGGUGAGUAACGCGUGAAUAACCUGCCUGUAUGUGGGGGAUAACAGCCGGAAACAGCUGCUAAUACCGCAUAACGUAUAGAGAUUGCAUGGUCACUAUACCAAAGAUAGUAUUGCAUACAGAUGGAUUCGCGUCCGAUUAGAUAGUUGGUGAGGUAACGGCCCACCAAGUCGACGAUCGGUAGCCGGACUGAGAGGUCGAACGGCCACAUUGGGACUGAGACACGGCCCAGACUCCUACGGGAGGCAGCAGUGGGGGAUAUUGGACAAUGGGGGCAACCCUGAUCCAGCGACGCCGCGUGAGGGAAGAAGGUUUUCGGAUUGUAAACCUCUGUCGACAGGGAAAAUGAUGAUGGUACCUGUGGAGGAAGCCACGGCUAACUACGUG
rnacentral:rRNA from 1 species